rnacentral:rRNA from 1 species
UUGCUGCAGUUAAAAAGCUCGUAGUUGGAUUUCGGGUGGGGCCUGCCGGUCCGCCGUUUCGGUGUGCACUGGCCGGGCCCACCUUGUUGCCGGGGACGGGCUCCUGGGCUUCGCUGUCCGGGACCCGGAGUCGGCGAGGUUACUUUGAGUAAAUUAGAGUGUUCAAAGCAGGCCUACGCUCUGAAUACAUUAGCAUGGAAUAACACGAUAGGACUCUGGCCUAUCCUGUUGGUCUGUAGGACCGGAGUAAUGAUUAAGAGGGACAGUCGGGGGCAUUCGUAUUUCAUUGUCAGANGUGAAAUUCUUGGAUUUAUGAAAGACGAACUACUGCGAAAGCAUUUGCCAAGGAUGUUUUCAUUAAUCAAGAACGAAAGUUGGGGGCUCGAAGAAAAUAGAUACCGUCCUAGUCUCCACCAUAAAC